rnacentral:rRNA from 1 species
AGAACGAACGCUGGCGGCAGGCCUCAAACAUGCAAGUCUAGGGGGUGUAGCAAUACAUCACCGGCGGACGGGUGCGUAACGCGUGGGAAUAUACCUAUUGGUUCGGAACAACUGAGGGAAACUUCAGCUAAUACCGGAUGAGCCCUAACGGGGAAAGAUUUCUCGCCAAUAGAUUAGCCCGCGUCCGAUUAGCUAGUUGGUGGGGUAAAAGCCUACCAAGGCAACGAUCGGUAGCUGUUCUGAGAGGAAGAUCAGCCACACUGGGACUGAGACACGGCCCAGACUCCUACGGGAGGCAGCAGUUGGGAAUCUUGGACAAUGGGGGAAACCCUGAUCCAGCCAUGCCGCGUGAGUGAUGAAGGCCUUCGGGUUGUAAAACUCUUUCGACGGGGACGAUAAUGACGGUACCCGUAGAAGAAGCUCCGGCUAACUUCGUGCCAGCAGCCGC